UACGGAGGGUGCAAGCGUUAAUCGGAAUUACUGGGCGUAAAGCGCACGCAGGUGGCUGAGUCAGUCGAUUGUGAAAGCCCUGGGCUUAACCUGGGAAUGGCAUUGGAAACUGGUCAGCUGGAGUGUGGCAGAGGGGGGUGGAAUUCCGCGUGUAGCAGUGAAAUGCGUAGAGAUGCGGAGGAACACCGAUGGCGAAGGCAGCCCCCUGGGCCAACACUGACGCUCAGGCACGAAAGCGUGGGGAGCAAACAGG
rnacentral:rRNA from 1 species